rnacentral:lncRNA from 1 species
UCUGGUGUGUGAUACCAGUGGGGGGUGCUUGGGUCUGUGGGCGGCAGAAGGCGUUUCUCCUAGCUUGGUGUCCUCUGCUGGCUGCUCUUCCUGCUGCCUCUGACUGCUCAGCCUUGAUUUGGCAUUUAGGCUGCCCACUGCCCACUGGGAUUGUCUGGCAACAUUUGCUCUCCCAAGAUCUUUCAUGCCUCCUGGCUGUCCCUGGGGUAGGAGUGGUGGUGCGGAAGCCCCUCAGACUGGUGAAGGACCAUUGCUGCUUCUUUCUCCUUCCUUCCCACCCCUCCUUGGCUGGCAACCCAGAAUCCUCUGAUGACAUCAUACUCCACUCCUGGCCAGAGAAAAGGACUUGCCUAGACUUUCUGAACUUGAACAGUUUCGGGUUAUAUUUUAAUUUUUUUUGUACAGGUUGAUUCUAAUACAUUUCAACAUGCUUUUUUCUAAAAAAAAAAAAAAAAA